rnacentral:rRNA from 1 species
ACACGACUACAUUAGAUACCCCCGUAGUCCCAGCCGUAAACUAUGCUCGCUAGGUGUCAGGGACGGUGCGACCGUUUCUGGUGCCGCAGGGAAGCCGUGAAGCGAGCCACCUGGGAAGUACGGUCGCAAGGCUGAAACUUAAAGGAAUUGGCGGGGGAGCACCACAACGGGUGGAGCUUGCGGUUUAAUUGGAUUCAACGCCGGAAAUCUUACCGGGACCGACAGCAACAUGAAGGCCAGGCUGAAGACUUUGCCGGAUUAGCUG